rnacentral:rRNA from 1 species
UUGAGGAAGGUAGAGGAGAGUGGAAUUCCCGGUGUAGCGGUGGAAUGCGCAGAUAUCGGGAGGAACACCAGCGGCGAAGGCGGCUCUCUGGGCCUCUCCUGACGCUGAGAUGCGAAAGCGUGGGUAGCGAACAGGAUUAGAUACCCUGGUAGUCCACGCCGUAAACGAUGGGUGCUAGGUGUGGGGAUCGGUCCACGAUCUCCGUGCCGAAGCUAACGCGUUAAGCACCCCGCCUGGGGACUACGGCCGCAAGGCUAAA